GGAAGACCUACAUUUUGAGGUCUAGUUGAAUAAAUACAGUUGAAUUUUUAAAUAGGACUGCAUUAUAGAUGGAUGUGAUUCAAAUUAAUUCUAUGAGCACAUUUUCAUAAAAUAAAUAAAUAAUGAUAAAAAGCCAAAAAAAAAAAAAAAACCUAAAAAAAGAAGUAGUAAAUAUAGAGACAAAGAGGGGGGGAAAUCACAUAAAUAAGACACUGUUUUAAAAGAAAACAACUUCUCUAUAUAUUUGUAGCUUAAAACACAACUAACAUUUUCCAAGUGACAAACCCGGCACAAACAAAACAACUGGAGAUUUAUUUUUGCUAAAAUUAUUAUCCAUCUUUGUCCAAAAAAAAUCCUUACUUUUUAGAGGCACGUAGUCUAAGUUGAAAUUGUCCUGGUGGGGAAAAAUUUUUUAAAGCCCAUUAAAAUGUGCUUUAGUUUUCUUUUUCCUUCUGGUGUCAGUUUUUUUAAAAACUAAGCCUAAAGCGCCAUCUACUGUGUCUGUUAGGCUCACAUCACUUUUGUUUAUUUUAUCAGAGUGCAGCAGAAAGGCAAAAUGUAGUAAAUUUAGAAUGUUACUUUAAAAUCCUAUUCCAAAGAAAUUUAAGAGAAUUAAAGAGGAUAUGCUUUUUUCCCCAUUAUAUACUUGUAUACAAUAUGUUUAGACAUAAAUACCUACCCACACACACAUACACAUUCUCGUAUCUGAUCAUUUUUCCUGCUUUUCACUUUCUUCUUAAAUAGGCCUGAACUCAGAAGAAUAUCACGGCAGGGACCAAAAUGCUUACUUUUAUAUAUUAGUGGGACAAGUAAUAACAGUGGCAAAGUUUGACUGAGGGAUGCUGUGUGCCAAAGAGUGUUUCAAGUGCUUUUUACUCAAUAUCUCAUAUAAUCUUCACAACAAUCCUUUGAAACAUCUGUCAUUAGUAUUAUCUCCAUUUUAUUUUUUAUUUUUAUUUUUAUUAUUUUUAAUUUUUUUUGUCUUUUCUAGGGCUGCACCUGCGACAUAUGGAGGUUCCCAGGCUAGGGGUUGAAUCGGAGCUAUAGCCGCGCCUUCGUCCAAGCUGCGUCUGCGACCUACACCACAGCUCACAGCAACGCCGUAUCCUUAACCCACUGAGUGAGGAUCUGGCCUUGGCAUGAGCUGUGGUGUAGGUCACAGACACAGCUCGGACCCUGCGUUGCUAUGGCUUGGCAGCAGCAGCUCCGGUUCUACCCUUACCCUGGGAACUUCCAUAUACAGCGGGUGCAGCCCUAAAAAGCAAAAACAAACAAAAAAACCUUUGCCCAAAGUAACACAGCUGGUAAGUAACCAAACUAUGAUUUGAAUCCAGAAUCUAUCUCUGGAUUUUGGGUCCAGAAUCUAUCUCUUAACCAUGAUACCAAACUUUCUGUUAUUACCAGUGGGUUCAAAUAAUGAUUAAUUCAACUUUUGUCAUCAGAACUUCAUAGGAGAAACUCUACAUUAUGCUUUAUUUCCAUACAUUCUAACAUCAUUCUAUCUUUAGGCUUUUUUUAAAAAAUACACCUAAUUUUUAGGAGAUGUGAUUUUUAUCCAAAGAACUCGUUAAAAUACCUGGGCCCUAAUCCAGAGAUUCUGAUUCAACAU
rnacentral:lncRNA from 1 species